rnacentral:rRNA from 1 species
GACGAACGCUGGCGGCGUGCUUAACACAUGCAAGUCGAACGGAAAGGCCCUGCUUUUGUGGGGUGCUCGAGUGGCGAACGGGUGAGUAACACGUGAGUAACCUGCCCUUGACUUUGGGAUAACUUCAGGAAACUGGGGCUAAUACCGGAUAGGAGCUCCUGCUGCAUGGUGGGGGUUGGAAAGUUUCGGCGGUUGGGGAUGGACUCGCGGCUUAUCAGCUUGUUGGUGGGGUAGUGGCUUACCAAGGCUUUGACGGGUAGCCGGCCUGAGAGGGUGACCGGCCACAUUGGGACUAAGAUACGGCCCAGACUCGUACGGGAGGCAGCAGUGGGGAAUAUUGCACAAUGGGCGGGAGCCUGAUGCAGCAACGCCGCGUGCGGGAUGACGGCCUUCGGGUUGUAAACCGCUUUCGCCUGUGACGAAGCGUGAGUGACGGUAAUGGGUAAAGAAGCACCGGCUAACUACGUG